rnacentral:rRNA from 1 species
CCUACGGGAGGCAGCAGUGAGGAAUAUUGGUCAAUGGACGAGAGUCUGAACCAGCCAAGUAGCGUGCAGGAUGACUGCCCUAUGGGUUGUAAACUUCUUUUAUAUGGGAAUAAAAUGUUCCACGUGUGGGAUUUUGUAUGUACCAUAUGAAUAAGGAUCGGCUAACUCCGUGCCAGCAGCCGCGGUAAUACGGAGGAUCCGAGCGUUAUCCGGAUUUAUUGGGUUUAAAGGGAGCGUAGGUGGGUUGUUAAGUCAGUUGUGAAAGUUUGCGGCUCAACCGUAAAAGUGCAGUUGAAACUGGCAGGCGUGAGUACAGUAGAGGUGGGCGGAAUUCGUGGUGUAGCGGUGAAAUGCUUAGAUAUGACGAAGAACUCCGAUUGCGAAGGCAGUUCACUGGACUGCAACUGACACUGAGGCUCGAAAGUGUGGGUAUCGAACAGGAUGAGAUACCCUGGUAGUC